rnacentral:tRNA from 1 species
UGUCUCGUGGCGUAGGGGUAACGCGUUUAUCUAGUGAACAGGGAGUCGUGAGUUCGAUUCUCCUCGAGAAGA